CAAAAAUUAGAGGUUGACGUUAAGUUAAUUUUCGAAUAUGAAAUCCACAAGAAAGUAGAAAGUAGUUCUCUGUUAUGGACUUGCCGUCCUUUCCCUGUCGCGCCAGCAACUCCGUAACGUUUAAAGCAAAUACCAAAACCGACUUUUCAAAGUCUUUAACAUUUGUUUGUUUGUGUUUUUUUUUUUUUUUUUUUCGCUGGGUUCAAAGUCUUUCCCUUAAGUCAGCCGUCUUUGUUACUCUGCCUUCUCUGUUAAGUCUGUCAUUCUGUGGAUAAAAUGCUGAUGCAGGUUGGUUGACUCUCUGCCCCCUGCAAAUUCAUUUCAGUCUCAAGCUCAAGCUGGUUUUCAUAUUCUUCGGAAUUCUGCUACUUGCUUGUUUGGUCGCAUAAAUUUCGGGCCAGAGUUUGAAGGAAGGGCAUAAUAGGGUCAAGAGUGCUUACCCUCUUGUGUUUCUGAGAGAUGGCUGCUUAUGAAAAAGAUGAGAUGCCGAUGUUGUCUCACAAUCAUCCUCGGUCAUCAGAUGAUAAUGUAAAUUCGCCAUUUGAAAGAUUUGGCCGGACACAAAGUGUAUCAUUCGCCAUUUCCAUGAACCCCAUGGAAUCUUAUGCAAGUGAACCUAACCUUGUAGGGGCAUACUGGCCCCAUGAGAAGUCAAAUAUCUCCAUUCAUACCUAUGAGUGGUCCACUAAAAGUCCGUCAACCCAACAACCUUUUACGGCCAAGUCGUAUUGUAGCAGUGAAAAGGGAAGCAGAAUCUAGGGUGGAAAAGGUUCCUUGCCACUAAUGGAACGAAUCAGAAUGAGUGGCCGAAUUACAGCUUUGCAGGAAAAAAUGAGCGUUUACUGAGGUCCGGGCAACUGGGUAUGUGCAAUGAUCCCUACUGCACAACGUGCCCAACAAUUUACCAUUACGAAGCAACUCCACACAAAUACCCGAAAGGUUUGGGUAUAUUUGAUUCCCAGGUGUUUCAUUUUUAAUCCGAUGCAUUAGUAUUUCUAGAUUAUCAUGUUUAUAUUCGUACUCCUAAUUACUUCUCUAUCAUGGUCUAACACUCAAGUCAGCUGCUGUAUGGAAUAAAUUUCUAAUUUUAUAGCUGCUUCUAUCUCAUGAUCAGGAAUUUAGCCAUCACAAAUUUGUGUCAAUCUAAGAUUAUAUUUUAUAUUCACUGCUAAACCAUACCCUCUGUAGUUAUGCAUGCAUGAUUGUGGCAUAAAUGGACAACUAUAAAGAAUAUAGUUUAUAAGCUGAUAUGAGAAAUUAUUGCCCUAAACAUGAAAUUUAGACCAUAGAAAAAAUUGAUUGCUUUACUGCCAAAUGGACCAUUUUGAUGGUCCCUAGGCUAGAACUAAAAUUGUUUGCUCCACUACCAAAUUGAACUGUGCUUUUUUUAACAUUUCUCAGUGUAUAUACGUGAAACUGACAAGGGAAACAGAAAUGAGUUUUGAAAAGAAUGAGAGAAUGCGUCAUCUUUUAGAGAUCUUUCACCUUUUAAAUCCACAUUUCUAUAUGAAUAAAAUGAAUAUAUGAAUGUUUUGUAACAUUUGAUGUCUAUUUUCCUAUAUUUUUUACUGUCUAGAAUGAUGACAUAAAUAGUUCUACAAAGUUAUGACUUCAUUUCAACUCUUUGCAGUCCAUAAUGCUCUCUAUGGCGAUGCCAAAGGUUGGGCAAGGAGAAUUUUCUCUUUUAUGAGUCCAUAUAUUCCUGGAGUUAUGAACCCCCAUGCUAAAGUUAUACAAAAAUUGAACAAAUUUUUUGUCAUAGCUUGCUUGGUGGCAAUUUUUAUGGAUCCAUUAUUUUUCUUCUUGUUAUCUGUUCAAUGGGUAUGAUUUAUUUUUCAAUUUAUUUUUUUAAUUUAUAAUAGGACAUGUGGUUAAGAUAAGACUGACUCAAGUACUCAAUCCUAACUAUUCAGGGCAAAACCGUUAGGUGACAUGAAUUAGGCUUGAGUUUCAGUAUUUUACUUACCUUUUUCUAGAUUUUGAUAUGCAAGAUUUCAAUUUAUCUCUUGAAACCUUCAUCAACAGAGUAUAUGCUAGUAAUAGCUUUGUCAUGUGAUUACAUGCUGCAUUCCUGCAUUCACCCCCUCCCUCUUCCAAUUACAAAAGUUAAAAAUACUUGGUGAUGAUUAAGAGAGUAGGAUAAAAGGAUAAAAAAUGAUAUUUUAAAUUUGCAGAAUGUGUUUUCUAAAGAAUAAAGGGCAAUCGGGUUUGUUUUUAGGAUUUCUUAUGUACCAUGUUAAGAACUUUUUUUGAUUUUAUUUUUGUGUGUGUGUGUGUGUGUGUGUGGUUGUAUAUAGUAUUAAUUUUAAAUUAACCAUAUGCUUAUCUUCAAUGUUUGUGGCUUUCUACUUAGGAGGCUAGAAAUGUCUCUAAGGCGCCAUGAUGUUGAACAAUGGAUGAGUCAUCGCCGCUUGCCUGAAGAACUUAGGAGGCGAGUACCACAAGCUGAACAGUAUAUCUGGGCAGCUACCAGAGGAGUAAAUGAAGAAAUUCUUUUGGAGAAUUUGCCUGAAGACCCUCAGCGAGAUAUAAGACGCCAUCUCUUCAUGUUCAUAAAGAAAGUUCGGAUAUUUUCCCUCAUGGAUGAGCAUAUUUUGGAUGCUAUUUGUGAAAGACUAAGACAAAAGACGUACAUCGGAGGACAAGACUGCCUCCAAAUUCCGACAGAAAUGGGAUUGAGAAAUUUAUUCAUGCCAAGUAUGUGGAAAAGAGAUGGGUUUCAAAGGAUGAAACUCAACCAACUUCAAGAUCAGCUGAAAUGAGUGGCAAUUUUAUGUCAGCAAGAGCAACGGAAAGAAACUUUCCAAAGAAAACAAGGAGUCUAUCUCUCAAGGAAGCUAUUCUAUCAAAACACCUAGGUGCAGCACAAGUUUCUCCUCCUCCUGUUGCCAAAUCCCUUGGGGGUUCACUUGAUUUGAAGAACAGCAUGUUUGUUUCAUCACCAUGCAAUGGUCCGUCAAUGACAAAAGAAUGUCUACAUCUACGAGAAGAACAAAUGGUAUCAAAGACCUCUACAAAUUGAUUUAUAUCCACGAUGCAAAGAAGGAUUCUUCUACUGUGACCCUCAACCUGGGCAACUUUUGUUUGUAAGACACUCAUAAUUUGUUAAUUCAUACUGUUUUGCAAGCGCAUGCUCACGAAGAGCUAUCAAAGCCAAUAGAAAUAAUUUAUAAGCAAAUUAUUAUAUGUUACGAACUAAAACUCAUUCACAACCUCCAAACCCACUAAUUAAGCAAGCCAGUUUUCCCUUAUUUCUUUCAAGUCCGCUGAAUAUGGAUCUCAUAUUUUAUACGGUAUGUAUACCAAUUAUAUGGUGAAAACAUGGCCAUUUUAGUGUGAUUUAUAUCUAGCUAGCUCUUUGUCUAUCAUUGGAUAUGAUUCAAGACUGUUGAUAUAAUAGAACUCUCAACUCAAAAUCUAUUUGUUGCAGGAGAUUUGUGAGAUUGAAGCUGUUGGAGUUGGAAACAGUUGUUGUACCCUUGACCUAUUAAGAUUUAUAUUGUUAUUGGUUCUUGAGGAAGUGAGAUGAUUUUGUCACUUUUUUGAGUGCAAAUAAACAAACAGCAGUUCUACCAUGAGACAAGGGUGUUGGAAAAGGUGUUAUCCUCCUCUUAUGACAAGGGAUCCUAACAUGGAUGGUCUUGGGAAGGUAACUAAACGAAUUUAAUUUAAUUUAAUGCUAAUAAUAUGGUAAAAGAAUACCUUAUAAAUAUACAACUCUUAAGUAGCUAAACCUAGAUAUACUCCCAAAAAGUAAGGUAUACCAUUGUUUGGAGAACAUGGGGACCGGACCUUCAAUCGAAAUUCACUCUUUAUGUUACCCUCUUUUUAUAAUUUAAAAGAAAAAUAAAUACUUUUUGGUGUCCUCUCCAGAACCUUCCCUUCUGUAUAAAGACCAACACUAAAUUGGUGCUACUUAAAAGAAGCAUAUAUUCCAGUUGAACAUAUGAAGAAACUAAUUAUCUUUUGGCUUCAUUAAAUAAUAAUUUACUUUACCGAUCAUGACAUGCCAUCUGAACUCAAUUAUGUUAUAAAUAUAAUUAUGAAGUUUCUCAUAUAAUUUUCCUUCAAAAGAAGAA